rnacentral:rRNA from 1 species
UACGGAGGGUGCGAGCGUUAAUCGGAAUUACUGGGCGUAAAGCGUGCGCAGGCGGUUUUGUAAGCCAGAUGUGAAAGCCCCGGGCUUAACCUGGGAAUGGCAUUUGGGACUGCAAGGCUUGAGUGCGGCAGAGGAGACUGGAAUUCCUGGUGUAGCAGUGAAAUGCGUAGAUAUCAGGAGGAAUACCGAUGGCGAAGGCAGGUCUCUGGGCUGACACUGACGCUCAUGCACGAAAGCGUGGGGAGCAAACAGG